CUACGUGCCAGCAGCCGCGGUAAUACGUAGGUGGCAAGCGUUGUCCGGAAUUAUUGGGCGUAAAGCGCGCGCAGGCGGAUUGGUCAGUCUGUCUUAAAAGUUCGGGGCUUAACCUCGUGAUGGGAUGGAAACUGCCAAUCUAGAGUAUCGGAGAGGAAAGUGGAAUUCCUAGUGUAGCGGUGAAAUGCGUAGAUAUUAGGAAGAACACCAGUGGCGAAGGCGACUUUCUGGACGAAAACUGACGCUGAGGCGCGAAAGCCAGGGGAGCGAACGGGAUUAGAUACCCCAGUAGUCCUGGCCGUAAACGAUGGGUACUAGGUGUAGGAGGUAUCGACCCCUUCUGUGCCGGAGUUAACGCAAUAAGUACCCCGCCUGGGGAGUACGACCGCAAGGUUGAAACUCAAAGGAAUUGACGGGGGCCCGCACAAGCGGUGGAGUAUGUGGUUUAAUUCGACGCAACGCGAAGAACCUUACCAGGUCUUGACAU
rnacentral:rRNA from 1 species